rnacentral:tRNA from 1 species
GGGCCCGUAGUCCAGUUUGGUUAGGACACUAUUAAGCCUAAAGUCGCCCUCACACGGCGGAGGUCCGGGGUUCAAGUCCCCGCGGGCCCA